rnacentral:misc_RNA from 1 species
UUUCCGUUGGUGAACCAGCGGAGGGAUCAUUACAGGACUCGCAAGACUCCUUACACCCUGUGAACCUUACUGUAUACGCGUUGCUUCGGCGGGUCCGCCCGCCGGCAGCAUACCACAUUCUGUUUCUCUGCGUUGGCAUCUCGAGAAAAAAGCAAAUAAGUUAAAACUUUCAACAACGGAUCUCUUGGUUCUG